rnacentral:rRNA from 1 species
GUGCAGAAGAGGAGAGUGGAAUUCCAUGUGUAGCGGUGAAAUGCGUAGAUAUAUGGAGGAACACCAGUGGCGAAGGCGGCUCUCUGGUCUGUAACUGACGCUGAGGCUCGAAAGCGUGGGGAGCGAACAGGAUUAGAUACCCUGGUAGUCCACGCCGUAAACGAUGAGUGCUAAGUGUUGGAGGGUUUCCGCCCUUCAGUGCUGCAGCAAACGCAUUAAGCACUCCGCCUGGGGAGUACGACCGCAAGGUUGAAACUCAAAGGAAUUGACGGGGGCCCGCACAAGCGGUGGAGCAUGUGGUUUAAUUCGAAGCAACGCGAAGAACCUUACCAGGUCUUGACAUCCUUUGACCACUCUAGAGAUAGAGCUUCCCCUUCGGGGGCAAAGUGACAGGUGGUGCAUGGUUGUCGUCAGCUCGUGUCGUGAGAUGUUGGGUUAAGUCCCGCAACGAGCGCAACCCUUAUUGUUAGUUGCCAUCAUUUAGUUGGGCACUCUAGCGAGACUGCCGGUGACAAACCGGAGGAAGGUGGGGAUGACGUCAAAUCAUCAUGCCCCUUAUGACCUGGGCUACACACGUGCUACAAUGGGAAGUACAACGAGUUGCGAAGUCGCGAGGCUAAGCUAAUCUCUUAAAGCUUCUCUCAGUUCGGAUUGUAGGCUGCAACUCGCCUACAUGAAGCCGGAAUCGCUAGUAAUCGCGGAUCAGCACGCCGCGGUGAAUACGUUCCCGGGCCUUGCACACAC